UACCAUAUUUUACCUCCUAUGUGAACUUCGUAAGCUAUAAUAACAUGUAACAGCCCGAGAUUAGAUAUAUUUAUUUAAUAUGUUUUUUUAAAAUAAACAAUUCUCGUAAUAUUAUUACAAUAAUCACGCCACGACGCCGCCCCACCUUAGAUCAGUCGGUGGGUUUGUAUAUAAAGGCGUCUGAGAUCUCGACUCCGGCAUAACGCAUCCUUUGUGCAUAUAUCUAUUCUUUGUUUUAACUUUCAUCCUCAAAAACCAACCAAAAACCAAAAAUGGGCGCAGAAAAAGUAUCCAUGAACAUCGUCGUCGUCGGACAAGUGCAAUCUGCCAAGGCGGUCAAAUCGAUCGCCAAAGCUACACCAGCGACCAGCCAACUUAUGAACUGUUAAUUCAGUUAACUGUUAAUCCAGUCCAUCACAUUGCAAAACUCAAAAAUGCCAUAGCCCAAACAAUACAAUAAUAAUAUGUACCUAAUUCAUAUUUCAUAUCAGUAUUGAAACCGCAAAAUAAAUCAGUCGUUUCCGAUAAACUUAA